UACGGAAGGUCCGGGCGUUAUCCGGAUUUAUUGGGUUUAAAGGGAGCGCAGGCCGUAGGCUAAGCGUGCCGUGAAAUACCGUCGCUCAACGGCGGCCGUGCGGCGCGAACUGGUCUACUUGAGUACGCGGGACGUUGGCGGAAUUCGUGGUGUAGCGGUGAAAUGCUUAGAUAUCACGAAGAACUCCGAUUGCGAAGGCAGCUGACGGUAGCGCAACUGACGCUGAGGCUCGAAAGCGCGGGUAUCGAACAGG
rnacentral:rRNA from 1 species